rnacentral:rRNA from 1 species
AUUCCGGUUGAUCCUGCCGGAGGUCAUUGCUAUUGGAGUCCGAUUUAGCCAUGCUAGUUGCACGAGUUUGUACUCGUAGCAGAUAGCUCAGUAACACGUGGCCAAACUACCCUAUGGAUCCGGCCAACCUCGGGAAACUGAGGCUAAUCCGGAAUACGGCUCUCAGCCUGGAAAUGG